GACGAACGCUGGCGGCGUGCUUAACACAUGCAAGUCGAACGGAAAGGCCUUUUCGGAGGUACUCGAGUGGCGAACGGGUGAGUAACACGUGGGUGAUCUGCCCUGCACUCUGGGAUAAGCCUGGGAAACUGGGUCUAAUACCGGAUAGGACCGCACUUUAGUGUGUGUGGUGGAAAGUUUUUUCGGUGUAGGAUGAGCCCGCGGCCUAUCAGCUUGUUGGUGGGGUAAUGGCCUACCAAGGCGGCGACGGGUAGCCGGACUGAGAGGUUGGUCGGCCACAUUGGGACUGAGAUACGGCCCAGACUCCUACGGGAGGCAGCAGUGGGGAAUAUUGCACAAUGGGCGCAAGCCUGUUGCAGCGACGCCGCGUGGGGGAUGACGGCCUUCGGGUUGUAAACUCCUUUCGCCAGGGACGAAGCGUUUUGUGACGGUACCUGGAGAAGAAGCACCGGCUAACUACGUG
rnacentral:rRNA from 1 species